UCUGCUCCAGUGUGCUCGUCGACUCCUCGUCCUCGCCGUCGCCGGCCUGAGCCUGACAUCGCGUCGCGUGCCAAAGCCGACGCGCGCAAAAGCAACGAAAGCGAAAGCAAAGCGGCCACCACCUCACCCCGUCUCCUCUCCUCCCUCCACCCGUCACGCCGAAGCUCCGAGCGCGAGCGGCCAUUCCAUUCCUCUCGGCUCUCGCACCGUCCCGUCGCAUCCCCUCCCCCUCUCCUAAAAAUGAGAAACCUAGUACUACCAUAGAAGUCAAGUCACUCGCCCGCUCGCCCGCCCGCGCGCCCAACCAACCCGCGCCGUGCUCGCGAGAGGCGCCCACGGAGCCCAUGCCGCCCCGCGCGUCGGCCGCCUCGCUGCAGGGCGACUGCUGCAUCCACGGGCCAGGCCCAGGCCCCGGCCCCGGCCCCGGCUGGCGCGUCGGCGGCGGCGAGCUCCACGGCGAGGCGUCCUGCAGCUACCUGCCGCUGCGAAAGCGGCUGUCCGUGGACGGCAAGUGCCCGGCGCCGCGGAUAUGCAUCUGGGAGUGCGACGGCGAGGCCGGGGACAUCACCUGCGACAUCGUCGCCGCGCCGCUCCGGCGCAGCUGCAGCGCCAGGGCAAUGCCGCCGCCUCCCCCGCCGCUCCUCUUCCGCCGGAUGAUGACGCCGCCGCCUUCGCGGCCCAGGCCGCCGCCGCAGAGGGAGGCGGAGGAGGCGGCCAGGAGGCCCGGGGAGACCAUCUCCAAGGGCCACCGGAGCUACGGCCUCAUGCUUAACCUGCAGCUUGGCAUAAGCUAUUCAGUGGGGAAGUCGUCGGCGCUGCCGUUCAGGAAGCUCUCGCCGUCAGACUUCGACCCGCGGGAGAAGGUGUGGACGCGGUUCCCGCCGGAGGGGUCCAAGCUGACGCCGCCGCAUCACUCGGUGGAUUUCCGGUGGAAGGACUACUGCCCUGCAGUAUUCAGGCACCUGAGGAAGCUGUUCGGGGUGGAUCCGGCGGACUACAUGCUCGCCAUCUGCGGGGGCGACACGCUCCGGGAGCUGGCAUCCCCGGGCAAGAGUGGGAGCUGCUUCUUCGUUACGCAGGACGAUCGAUUCAUGAUUAAAACCGUGAAGAAGGCCGAAGUGAAGGUUCUAAUUAGGAUGCUGCGGAGUUACUACGAACAUGUUUGUCGAUACAAGUCCACUUUACUGACAAGAUUCUAUGGCACACAUUGCAUUAAGCAAGCUGGCUGCCCCAAGGUCCGGUUCAUUAUAAUGGGCAAUUUUUGCUGCUCAGAGUAUAAGAUCCACCGGCGUUUUGAUUUGAAAGGUUCCUCACAUGGUCGGACUAUCGACAAAGCAGAACAGAAAAUCGAUGAAACUACUACUCUAAAGGACCUUGACCUCGAUUAUGCAUUCCACCUGCAAAGAUUUUGGUACGAGGAGCUGAUGAAGCAAAUUCAGAUGGACUGCACAUUCUUAGAGACACAAGGAAUUAUGGACUACAGCUUGUUGCUAGGAGUUCACUUUCGUAAUGUAGGUGUAUCCCAGUUCACUAGUUUUCCAAAAUCCACUGGCAAAAGAAAAUCAUUUGAAGGUGGAGGUGAUGUUUGUGAGCUUUGCUUUAUGGAAUCUGGAUGCAAGGACAGAGAUUUCAUUGUUGACUCUCGGAAACCAUUGGUCCAGUUAGGCAAGAACAUGCCCGCACAGGCGGAGCGCAGGUCAAGGAGAGUCCUAGACAAGUUUCUCCUAAAUGAAAGACACUUGUUCAUAACCACGCCAAGCGGAGGAUCAUGGGAUGUCUACCUCUUCUUUGGAAUAAUCGACAUUCUUCAAGACUACGACAUAACCAAGAAGCUUGAGCAUGCUUACAAGUCCUUCCAGGUCAACCCUGGCUGCAUUUCUGCCGUGGAUCCAAAGCUCUACUCGAGAAGAUUCCAGGACUUCAUUCGCAGAGUGUUCAUCAGAGAACAGUAAGAAGAACUUGCACAGAGUUAACCGGCAACUGUUCAGCUCCACUGACAUUUUUACAUCAUGGGAUCCAUUGGUGAAGCCAUGGGCAUGAUCGUUUCACCGAUCCCGAGCGUGCCCUGGAACAGUGGAAAGGAUGGGCGGUUUACCGGGCGCACAGUUUUCUGAAUAAUUGACGCCGAGGAAGGAGCACUGCCGACACGCAUGCUAAUGCUGAAAAGGACUUGUAAAAUGUAAGUGCCGGCUCCAUGAUUGCGGAGCACAUCCCGAACCUUGCCGCCCGUUGUUUAUUCUUUUUUGCACCCGCAUCUGCCAAGAAUCUCAAGUAUUUUAGCUUCUUGGGAUGCUUGAUGAAUACCAGAAUGAUCUUUGCCGAGUGGGGAUCGGACAUUGUACAUGUACAUGCAGCCCUGUAGUAUACACUAGAUGGACUUAGAAACUGAUGCAUCUUUGUCAAAGUUUGAGAAAAAGGAAUUCGGAUGCAUCCUUGCGUUCUAAAAGAAGCUGGUGCCUCGAAUUGUUGCCUUCUUUGCAAGCAUUUGCAGCUGGGUUUCUUUUUCGCUCGCGCCUGCUCUGACUGACCACGGUUGGUGACUGGAGGAGAGGCAGCGGCGCCACUUGCAGUUCUACCACUGGCUCGGCGAACUGGCGAAAGGUAAAGCGGAAAAGCGGAAGAGGAGGAAGGGAGGAGACAGGCAUCAAAAGGAGAGAAAGCGGGUGCAGGGAGAUGCUGGGACAGAUCUGGUCUGCUCCUGCGGCCCGUGUCUCGCAGGGUGAUGCGUUUUUCUUGCGUCCUCUCGCUGUUGCUACAUGGCCGGCCGGCCGGCCUUUCUUUCCUCCUCGACUUUGCUUUGUCCCACGCCAAGCCCUGCUCCGUUUCUUCGUCUCCCUCGCUUUUGUCAUGCUCUGAUGUGCUUGGAUCUACUGUCUAUGACCGGGCCAGCCUUCCUCCGGCAUGCAUCGGCAUGACUGGGGCUGCAGACCAGGUGUUCAGAAGUUACUUCCGCAGGUCACAGCAACUCAGGAUGAUGCAUUGCCACUCUCACGCAUGACGCGUCCUACUCGGCUACUCCUAGAGUCCUAUUGGUAGCCACUUUGGCCAGAUCGUGCUACCUGCAUUAUAAACUUGUGUCUAAUAAGGGGCAGGCGUAUUAUUAGAGAAUUUCAUCAUGUUAGUUUUCGUGGGA